rnacentral:rRNA from 1 species
GAUGAACGCUGGCGGCGUGCCUAAUACAUGCAAGUCGAGCGAACGGACGAGAAGCUUGCUUCUCUGAUGUUAGCGGCGGACGGGUGAGUAACACGUGGAUAACCUACCUAUAAGACUGGGAUAACUUCGGGAAACCGUAGCUAAUACCGGAUAAUAUUUUGAACCGCAUGGUUCAAAAGUGAAAGACGGUCUUGCUGUCACUUAUAGAUGGAUCCGCGCUGCAUUAGCUAGUUGGUAAGGUAACGGCUUACCAAGGCAACGAUGCAUAGCCGACCUGAGAGGGGGGACGCCCCAACGAGAAAGAGACACGGCUCCGACCUCGAGGGGGAGGAACAAGAAGGAUACCUUCGGAAGGGGGAGAAGGCCGGACGGGCCAACCCGGGGGGAGGGAUGAGGGUUUCGGAAGCAUAACAUUUUUUUAGUAGGAAAAAAAAUAUUUGUAAGUAAUUGUGCACAUCUGGCCGGAACAAAAUCAGAAGGCCAGGCAAAACCACGGC